rnacentral:rRNA from 1 species
AGUCGAGCGAGAUUUAGAGGAGUACUUGUACAAAUUUAAAUCUUAGCGGCGGACGGGUGAGUAACACGUGAGUAACCUGCCCUUCAGUGGGGAAUAACAACGAGAAAUCGUUGCUAAUACCGCAUAAUGUUAUCGGAUCGCAUGGUCUGAUAACCAAAGGAUUUAUUCGCUGAAGGAUGGACUCGCGUCCGAUUAGUUAGUUGGUGAGGUAAUGGCUCACCAAGGCAACGAUCGGUAGCCGAACUGAGAGGUUGAUCGGCCACAUUGGGACUGAGACACGGCCCAGACUCCUACGGGAGGCAGCAGUGGGGAAUAUUGGGCAAUGGGGGAAACCCUGACCCAGCAACGCCGCGUGAAGGAAGAAGGUCUUCGGAUUGUAAACUUCUUUGAUCAGGGACGAACAAAAUGACGGUACCUGAGGAACAAGCCACGGCUAACUACGUGCCAGCAGCCGCGGUAAUACGUAGGUGGCAAGCGUUAUCCGGAUUUACUGGGUGUAAAGGGCGUGUAGGCGGUUUUGUAAGUCAGAUGUGAAAUCUCCGGG